AGUGAACGCUGGCGGUAGGCCUAACACAUGCAAGUCGAACGGCAGCACAGUAAGAGCUUGCUCUUACGGGUGGCGAGUGGCGGACGGGUGAGGAAUACAUCGGCAUCUACUUUUUCGUGGGGGGUAACGUAGGGAAACUUACGCUAAUACCGCAUACGACCUACGGGUGAAAUCAGGGGAUCUUCGGACCUUGCGCGAUUGAAUGAGCCGAUGUCGGAUUAGCUAGUUGGCGUGGUAAAGGCCCACCAAGGCGACGAUCCGUAGCUGGUCUGAGAGGAUGAUCAGCCACACUGGAACUGAGACACGGUCCAGACUCCUACGGGAGGCAGCAGUGGGGAAUAUUGGACAAUGGGCGCAAGCCUGAUCCAGCCAUACCGCGUGGGUGAAGAAGGCCUUCGGGUUGUAAAGCCCUUUUGUUGGGAAAGAAAAGCAGCAGGUUAAUACCCCGCUGUUCUGACGGUACCCAAAGAAUAAGCACCGGCUAACUUCGUG
rnacentral:rRNA from 1 species